rnacentral:misc_RNA from 1 species
AAGUCGUAACAAGGUAACCGUAGGUGAACCUGCGGUUGGAUCAUUAACAAAAUGAUAAAAGUUCAGACGAAAGUCUGGGCUUUUAUAAACACCUGUGAACUGUAAUUGUAUCUGGUGGACCUAGUCCACCGUUAUGAACUUUUAUAUCUUGAAUUAGUUUAUAAAUUUUAAUAAUUUAAAACAACUUUUGACAACGGAUCUCUAGGCUCUC